rnacentral:rRNA from 1 species
AUGGAGGGUGUUACAGUGUUGAUUGUUGGUGCUGGGCCAGCAGGCCUCGCAACGGCAGCAUGCCUUAGCCAAUUCUCAAUUCCUUAUGCCAUCGUCGAGCGCGAGAGCUGUAGCGCAUCACUCUGGCGCAACCGCGCGUAUGAUCGCCUCAAGUUGCAUCUCGCAAAGGAGUUCUGUGAGUUGCCACACAUGUCAUACCCUGUAGAUGCACCAACAUACAUACCAAAAACCUUGUUUGUGAAGUACUUGGAUGACUAUGUUGAGCGUUUCAACAUUCAACCAAAGUAUCUCACCAGCGUGGAGUCAUCCACAUAUGACAAUGAUGAAAAAUGUUGGUCCAUUGUGAUUCAUGUAAUGACAAAGGAAUUAAUUCGUUUGGGGAUGACACUUGCUCACCGUCUUCCAUUGAAUCUAGUUGAUAAACUCCUUGUGAUGGUA